ACACAUGCAAGUCGAACGAGUGAGAGAGAGCUUGCUUUCUCGAGCGAGUGGCGAACGGGUGAGUAACGCGUGAGGAACCUGCCUCAAAGAGGGGGACAACAGUUGGAAACGACUGCUAAUACCGCAUAAGCCCACGACCCGGCAUCGGGUAGAGGGAAAAGGAGCAAUCCGCUUUGAGAUGGCCUCGCGUCCGAUUAGCUAGUUGGUGAGGUAACGGCCCACCAAGGCGACGAUCGGUAGCCGGACUGAGAGGUUGAACGGCCACAUUGGGACUGAGACACGGCCCAGACUCCUACGGGAGGCAGCAGUGGGGAAUAUUGCACAAUGGGGGAAACCCUGAUGCAGCGACGCCGCGUGGAGGAAGAAGGUCUUCGGAUUGUAAACUCCUGUUGUUGAGGAAGAUAAUGACGGUACUCAACAAGGAAGUGACGGCUAACUACGUGCCAGCAGCCGCGGUAAAACGUAGGUCACAAGCGUUGUCCGGAAUUACUGGGUGUAAAGGGAGCGCAGGCGGGAAGACAAGUUGGAAGUGAAAUCCAUGGGCUCAACCCAUGAACUGCUUUCAAAACUGUUUUUCUUGAGUAGUGCAGAGGUAGGCGGAAUUCCCGGUGUAGCGGUGGAAUGCGUAGAUAUCGGGAGGAACACCAGUGGCGAAGGCGGCCUACUGGGCACCAACUGACGCUGAGGCUCGAAAGUGUGGGUAGCAAACAGGAUUAGAUACCCUGGUAGUCCACACUGUAAACGAUGAUUACUAGGUGUUGGAGGAUUGACCCCUUCAGUGCCGCAGUUAACACAAUAAGUAAUCCACCUGGGGAGUACGACCGCA
rnacentral:rRNA from 1 species